UACGUAGGGGGCGAGCGUUGUCCGGAUUUAUUGGGCGUAAAGAGCUCGUAGGUGGUUUGGUAAGUCGGAUGUGAAAUCUCCAGGCUCAACCUGGAGGGGUCAUUCGAUACUGCCAUGACUAGAGUUCGGUAGGGGAGUGUGGAAUUCCUGGUGGAGCGGUGAAAUGCGCAGAUAUUAGGAGGAACACCCGUAGCGAAGGCGGCACUCUGGGCCGAUACUGACACUGAGGAGCGAAAGCGUGGGGAGCGAACAGG
rnacentral:rRNA from 1 species